AAAAAGUUUGAAAAGAGAAAGAUCAGAGAGAGAAGGAGACAGCGAAGGAUAGACGGACAGAGUUUCCUCUCCGAGAAGGAAAAGAAGAGAGAGAGAGAAGGGAUGGAUGUUUUAGAAAAACACUGAUAAAAGAAGAUCGAUAGACGGAAAGAGGUCAGAGGAGGUGGAGAGAGAGACGGGUCGGAGGAGAGAGAGGCGGGACAGAGGAGAGAUACAGGUAGGAGGAGAGAGACGGCUCGGAGGACAGAGACACGGCUCAGGGGAGAGAGACACUCAGCUCGGAGGAGAGAGACACUCAGCUCGGAGGAGAGAGACACUCAGCUCGGAGGAGAGAGACACUCAGCUCGGAGGAGAGAGACACUCAGCUCGGAGGAGAGAGACACUCAGCUCGGAGGACAGAGACACUCAGCUCGGAGGACAGGUAGGCGGACAGAGACACGGCUCAGGGAGAGAGAACACUCAGCUCGGAGGAGAGAGACAGGUAGGAGGAGAGAGAGACACUCAGCUCGGAGGAGAGAGACAGGUAGGAGGAGAGAGACACUCAGCU
ensembl:lncRNA